rnacentral:rRNA from 1 species
AUACGGAGGGGGCUAGCGUUGUUCGGAAUUACUGGGCGUAAAGCGCGCGUAGGCGGCCUGUCAAGUUGGAUGUGAAAGCCCGGGGCUCAACCCCGGAAUUGCAUUCAAAACUGGCAAGCUAGAGACCGAGAGAGGUGAGUGGAAUUUCCAGUGUAGAGGUGAAAUUCGUAGAUAUUGGAAAGAACACCAGUGGCGAAGGCGGCUCACUGGCUCGGUACUGACGCUGAGGUGCGAAAGCGUGGGGAGCAAACAGGAUUAGAUACCCCAGUAGUCC